rnacentral:tRNA from 1 species
GUUUUUAUAGUUGAAUAACAACGCUGAUUUUUCAAGUCAGGGGUCUAAGGGAUACUUAGUAGAAAUU